UACAGAGGUCCCAAGCGUUGUUCGGAUUCAUUGGGCGUAAAGGGCGCGUAGGCGGCUCAUACAGUCAGAUGUGAAAUUCCUGGGCUUAACCUGGGGGCUGCAUUUGAUACGUGUGGGCUUGAGUGGGGAAGAGGGUCGUGGAAUUCCCAGUGUAGAGGUGAAAUUCGUAGAUAUUGGGAAGAACACCGGUGGCGAAGGCGGCGACCUGGUCCAUUACUGACGCUGAGGCGCGACAGCGUGGGGAGCAAACAGG
rnacentral:rRNA from 1 species